CAGCGAUCAGAGGAGAGAGCUGCAUGUUUCUCUGAGUCUCCGGGUCCAUGUUGGAGUUGCUCUGCUCUGCUGGGUCAUUUCAGGCCACGUCUGUCCGAGCACAGGAGCAAACGCUGGUAUUACAGGGAUAUCUAAUAAAGGACAUACACAUAUACUGUGCUGCAGCUUCGAGGUUUUCAUGUUGGGAGGGAUUCAUCCACCUCGGCCCUGGCAGGACUAAACCUUCCAAUGUCUUUCUGCUGACUAAAGAACUAUGGAUAUUGAAUGACUUUCCUGAGCCUCUGCUGCUCCAAACCACUCUGGAACGACUCCGAUAUCACAAAGAACAAGAUAUCAGCGAGUCCGUGGAUGACAACAGCAUGAUGUUGAAGGCCUAA
rnacentral:lncRNA from 1 species